CGGUUAGGGGAGACACUAUCCUUCAGUUCGGCCGGAUCGGAGACAGGUGCUGCAUGGCCGUCGUCAGCUCGUGUCGUGAGAUGUUGGGUUAAGUCCCGCAACGAGCGCAACCCUUACCGUUAGUUGCCAGCAUUCAGUUGGGCACUUGAGGGGACCGCCGGUGACACCCGGGGGGAGGGGGGGGAAGGGUCAUCGUGAAGAACCUUACGACCAGGGCUACCCACGUGCUACAAUUCCGGUACAGAGGGG
rnacentral:rRNA from 1 species